GAUGAAGAACGUAGCGAAAUGCGAUAAGUAAUGUGAAUUGCAGAAUUCAGUGAAUCAUCGAAUCUUUGAACGCAUCUUGCGCUCCUUGGUAUUCUGAGGAGCAUGCCUGUUUGAGUGUCAUUAAAUUCUCAACUACACUGACUUUGAAUUGGUGUGGCUUGGAUUUGGGGGGAAAAUUGUUGUGGGCUUUUUGUAUAGUCUGCUCCCCUGAAAUUGAUUAGCGGUACCUUUGUGGAACUGUCUACAGGUGUGAUAAUUAUCUACAUCUUAGACAUCUGCUGGAAUGCUGCUCUCUAAACCUUACUUGUAUUGACAAUCUUGACCUCAAAUCAGGUAGGACUACCCGCUGAACUUAAGCAUAUCAAUAAGCGGAGG
rnacentral:misc_RNA from 1 species